rnacentral:SRP_RNA from 1 species
CGUCGGACGCGGUCGAUAGACGCUCGCCGAACCCCGUCAGGUCCGAAAGGAAGCAGCGGUAAGCGUCCCGUUUAUGCGACCGCCUCUCCGACGUUU